AAACCAGCACCUCAAGUGGUCAGGAUGAUUAUUGGGCCUAAAGCAUCCGUAGCCGGCUCUGUAAGUUUUCGGUUAAAUCUGUAUGCUCAACAUACAGGCCGCCGGGAAUACUGCAGAGCUAGGGAGUGAGAGAGGUAGACGGUACUCGGGAGGAAGUGGUAAAAUGCUUUGAACUCUCGAUGACCACCUGUGGCGAAGGCGGUCUAUCAGAACACGUCCGACGGUGAGGGAUGAAAGCUGGGGGAGCAAACCGAAUUAGAAACCCGAGUAGUCC
rnacentral:rRNA from 1 species